GAUGAACGCUGGCGGCGUGCCUAAUACAUGCAAGUCGAGCGAACAGACGGGGAGCUUGCUCCUCUGACGUUAGCGGCGGACGGGUGAGUAACACGUGGAUAACCUACCUAUAAGACUGGGAUAACUUCGGGAAACCGGAGCUAAUACCGGAUAAUAUAUUGAACCGCAUGGUUCAAUAGUGAAAGACGGUUUUGCUGUCACUUAUAGAUGGAUCCGCGCCGCAUUAGCUAGUUGGUAAGGUAACGGCUUACCAAGGCAACGAUGCGUAGCCGACCUGAGAGGGUGAUCGGCCACACUGGAACUGAGACACGGUCCAGACUCCUACGGGAGGCAGCAGUAGGGAAUCUUCGGCAAUGGGCGAAAGCCUGACGGAGCAACGCCGCGUGAGUGAUGAAGGUCUUCGGAUCGUAAAACUCUGUUAUUAGGGAAGAACAAAUGUGUAAGUAACUAUGCACGUCUUGACGGUACCUAAUCAGAAAGCCACGGCUAACUACGUG
rnacentral:rRNA from 1 species